GCGACAGCAGCACCAGUAGUACAUUGAAGAACAAUUCUAAAUUUAAGAUCAGUAAGGUUGCUCAGUUAGCACAUUCUGUGAAACCAGGACAGAAGUUUAUUCCUCUAAACACAAAUGAGAAACCGAUUAAAUUAAUUAGCGUACACCCCUCAUUAGGAAAUCAUCCAGGAUCAUCGCGAGCGAUUAGCGUUCCUCAAAAAUCUACAGAGCCUCUACCUAAUUAUGACGAACUUUCACAGAAACCAGAAAAACCUUUGCAGAAUCCUAAAGAUGGUAUUCAGUCAAAUGAUGGGGAUACUGUUAAUCCAAAAAAUCCACAGCAAGUUGUUCUUACUUCAGAUCAACACCCGGUAAAAAAAGUCCUUCUUGACGUUUUUAAUAUCACGUAAAACAAUACUUUGUUAUUGCAAGAACUAUCAAAACAAAUAAAUGAGCAAGGCGAGCAACUAUCUAAACUGUCGGAAGUAGUUAAUCAGCGUUGAAAUCAAAGGAUUGCCUCGUCAAUAGCCAAACCUGAUUUUAUACCGUUCUGUACUGUGGCGGGAGUUAAUGAAUAUAAUAAUGCUUCAGAAAAAGAUAGAACUCAAUUAAGAAAUUACAUUAGUGCUUUCAGAGGAGGAAGAUCUGUCAUGGAUAACGUUCGUUAUAUUUUGAAAAACAAUUUACUCAUUAUGGAGGAGUUGUUAGUCACAUACAAUUACUUUGAACCAAGUAAAAGGAAACCUAACACUUUGGCUGGUUCCACGCUCAAUCGUGAUUUUCUCUCGGCUUUAAGAGUGAUGUACCCUACUUUGAGUGUGCAACAAUAUCAUGAAGCCUUAAAAAAUGCACUGAAGGCAGCAGAUUCUCGAAAGAGAGUAAAAAGUAAAUCUACCUCAGAACCAUCGAGAAAGAGAAAGAAGAGCACGGAAUUUACUGAAGAUUUUUAUUCAAAUUCUGCAGAAAAUCAGCCUCCAGUGGUUUAGCAUUUCUUUAAUUAAUAUUUUUAAAACAAGUGUUCUUUUUAUUUAAAAUAUAUGGGGCAUUCCAUGCCAAAUCACCGAGGUUUCGGCCCGACCCCCUUCGAUUUCGCUGAAAAUUUUUUAUCAUUUUCUAUCCUACCGAAAACAUUUUCCUGAAUUUUUUCAGAUUUCUUUACCCAACCCAAAAAAAGUUACGAAUUUUUGAAAAAAAACGCUCUUUUUUUUCAAAUUGCUGUAACUUUGACACAAAUUGACCUUUUGGCACUUUUUUUUUUUGAAAAAUUUUGUUUUCAAUUGUAGUUUUCAGAAAAAAAUACAAAAAAUUUUUCGGAAGUCACGAUAUAUAAAAUAUUUCAGUUUUUUCAAUAACACCGUAAUUUUCUCGAAGUCGGAAACCUUCGAUUCUAAAUUUUUUUGUCUCAAAAAAAACUUCAACCAAGACAGUAUUUAACCCCGCCAUUCCCAUUUUGUGCCGACUUUCCUUUAUAUUUUUUUUUUUUCGAUUGAAAUUAAAAAAAUUUCUAAAUUUGGCUUAUUUUUAUGACUUUGCGCUGAAGUUUCUUUGGAUUGUUUUUAAAAGCUCAGAAGUUGAAUAAAAUUGGACCAAAACAACCGUAAAUUGUAUUAGGGGCAAGGAUUGAUUUUUUCGGAAGAAAAUUCCCAAUUUUUAAAUACAGUGAAACCUAAACCUACAAUUUAACCUUCUCACUAAGACAAUUUAUAGAUAAAUUCAGAAAAAUAUCGAUAGCCCGAACUGAGAAUCGAACCUAGACCAUGUCGGUAUCGCGCCGAGUGCUCUACCAGUUGAGAUAUCCGGUACUAUAUCGAAGGGGGUCGGGCCGAAACCUCGGUGAUUUCCCAGCAAACGGGAUCGGAUUGAGUCGGAUUCAACAUCCUAUCCGCUUCAACACGAUUCAAUGCAGUUUUUGAAAUCUCCGUUUUUCAAUCCGUUUUAAUACGAUCAGACCCGACACGUUAGUAUUGGAUAACUACAGAAAAUUUUGUUACCAACUUCUAAAACUUCUAAAAAUUUAUUAAUAAUGAGUUGAUUUCUUUUUUUAUUCACUUUCAGAAUUUUAUUUUCUUAUAAAUUUUUUGAGAAGUUUUUAGAGAAAUUUUAAAAUUAAAUUAUUUUUAGCUUCUGCAAUAGUUUAUAAUAUGUUCUUUUUGAUAAACUUAUUUGAUUUAAACUUUUGUCUCUGACGUUAUUAGAAAAAUAAAAUUAUGUUUAUCAAUUUACCACGGCCCAACCUUAAAGACAUAAAUUUCUUAAUAUAAAUAAAAUAUCAAAAAGGAAAAUUUCACUUGCAUGCGUUUGGCUUAUAGUCCAGUCGAUGCGCACGAAAAAAUGGUCAAAGAUCAUUUUUUCGGUGGGUAAAGAUCGAUUUUGAAAAAUUUUUUCUUUAAAAUACUAAAAAAAAUAUAAGGAAAAAAGUUACGAUAAAUUUGGAGGUGGAUCAUUUUUUUUUUAUAAUAAAAUUAGAUGUAAAAUGAAAUAUCUCUAAAAGUAUUGAGAAGUUAUCGAGACAAAUUAGUAUCAUUGUUUUUGGGAUUUAAUAACGAACAAACUGAAUUCUGAACGAAGUCUCUACGACGAAUAGUUGAUAAGACAAAAAUUAUUGAAGCGCGAAAAACGAAAAAGCGCGUCAUUUCGUCCGCGCGCGGAUAAACAAAAGAGUGUAACUCGGCAGCAAAUCGAUAUUUUCACAAUUUUUUUUUUAUUCUCUUAGUAAAUCAUACAUCAACCAUAAAAAAAUUUGGUAACUUCCGAACAAAUUUUUUCGAAUUUUAAAUUUAAAAAAAGUAAAAAUCACUUUCUUAAAUAAAAAAUAGAAAAAAUGAAAAAUUAAUAAAAUGACCUAAUGGAUAAUUUUGUUUGAACCAUUGCCCAAACAACUACGGGUAAUGACAGUUAAAAAAAAAUUUUUUUCCAUAAAAAAACCCGUUUUGAAAAUUUUUGAAAUUUAUCGACAAUCAAAAAAAAAAAAAAAAUUUUUUUUGAUACGACAGAAAUUCAUCUCGCGAAAUUCUGAAUCAAAUGGUAUAUACGAAUUUUUGUCGAUUUUUUGAAAUUUUUCCUCUAUAAUUUUCAAUCUAAGGACUUGAAAAAAUUUCUUUAUAAAAAAAAAAUGAUCCACCGCCAAAUUUAUGGUAACUUUUUUCCUUAUAUUUUUUCUAGUAUUUUAAAGAAAAAAUUUUUCAAAAUCGAUCUUUACCCGCCGAAAAAAUGAUCUUUGACCAUUUUUUCGUGCGCAUCGACUAGACUACCGACUUGGUCGGUAAGUUGAACUCUGCCUCGAAUUUAUUCUAUCCGAUUCAAUGCGUUGUAACACGAAACACUGUUUUCAAAAAUCGCAUUGGAUCGGGUUGGUUCGUAUUGGACUUCAAUCCGACUUCGUUUGCUGGGUUGGCAUGGAAUGCCCCAUAUAUUAUUGUAAGAAAGAUAUAUAAAU